GUGUACCAACAAAAUCCUAUUAUAAUGAUGCAUCUACUUUGUAAACAGGAGGCUGAAAAAAAAAAAAAAAACUCUUUAGUCUAAGCAGAACUAAGUAGUGUUCGUAAGCAAGACUCCAAGUCUAUGAUGUCAAUACUCAAAAAAAAAAAAAAAAAGUUCUAUGAUGUCAGUUAUUGGUUACAUUCAAGAACUCAAGGACACAGAGUGACAUUUCAUUAGAAUUGACAGAGCAAUAAAGUGAAUCAUUUACUGUCUGGUGUAUCAAAUCUUUUGAUGGAGGAGAUUGUCAAUGAUGAGAAUGGAAGAAUUUUUCAAAUAUAUGCUGUAACCACUUGAACGACAGUGGCCACGACGAGAUGAACCAAGUUUACGGUACCCACUGUGUAUAUUUUUUAAAGGAAAGUAUAGGUUUGGGAAGGGGAACCUAUUGCCCUUUUUUUUUUAAAGAAACAGUCAUGCCUGGGUAGCAUGAAUUUAAUUCAUUGAUGAAAGGUUGGUUUCCUUUGAGAUUAAUUACAUAUUCCCUUGCAAAUUUGUAAAUUUAGAUCCUAGAUUUGAUGAUGAAAGUCGCUAUUAAUGUCACAAAUGAGCCUGUAAAAAACGUUUGGCAAGUCUGCUAUUUGUGUUGCUUCCACACUUAUGGAGAAUGGUGGUGUUCCCCAAUCUCCAACAUGGAAGACUCUUCUUAAGUAGGCUAUUCAUGUUAUCAGUUGUGGGUGUGAGGAUAAAAUAGAUUGGGGAAGCGAGGUGUGUUGAUUUCUAUUAUUUAUAUAUUUUAACUUUGUCAUGGAUACUCUUUCUCUUUUUCAUUAUUAACUCGAACUCCCACUGCAUAUUGAUCGAAUUAAUGCAAUUCCUUUUAUUAGGAUGCAUCCAAUAUUUAAGGAAAUAUAUAAAAGAAAUUAGAUUGUUGAUUUUA